GAUGAACGCUGGCGGCGUGCCUAAUACAUGCAAGUCGAGCGAACGGACGAGAAGCUUGCUUCUCUGAUGUUAGCGGCGGACGGGUGAGUAACACGUGGAUAACCUACCUAUAAGACUGGGAUAACUUCGGGAAACCGGAGCUAAUACCGGAUAAUAUUUUGAACCGCAUGGUUCAAAAGUGAAAGACGGUCUUGCUGUCACUUAUAGAUGGAUCCGCGCUGCAUUAGCUAGUUGGUAAGGUAACGGCUUACCAAGGCAACGAUGCAUAGCCGACCUGAGAGGGUGAUCCGCCACACUGGAACUGGGACACGGUCCAGACUCCUACGGGAGGCAGCAGUAGGGAAUCUUCCGCAAUGGGCGAAAGCCUGACGGAGCAACGCCGCGUGAGUGAUGAAGGUCUUCGGAUCGUAAAACUCUGUUAUUAGGGAAGAACAUAUGUGUAAGUAACUGUGCACAUCUUGACGGUACCUAAUCAGAAAGCCACGGCUAACUACGUG
rnacentral:rRNA from 1 species